GGCGUCCGGGUGAGUAACACGUGAGUAAUUUGCCUUCGGGUGGGGAAUAACAGCCGGAAACGGCUGCUAAUACCGCAUGAUGCAGCGGCACCUCAUGGUGACAGUUGUUAAAGAGGGGGAUCCUUCGGGACCUCUCGCCUGAAGAGAAGCUCGCGGCAGAUUAGCUAGUUGGUAGGGUAACGGCCUACCAAGGCAACGAUCUGUAGCCGGCCUGAGAGGGCGGUCGGCCACACUGACACUGACACACGGGUCAGACUCCUACGGGAGGCAGCAGUCGGGAAUUUUGGGCAAUGGGCGAAAGCCUGACCCAGCAACGCCGCGUGAAGGAUGAAGUUUUUCGGAAUGUAAACUUCACAAGAAUGGGAAGUAUAAGUCGGGGUUAACACCCCCGAUGAUGACGGUACCAUUUGUAAGCUCCGGCUAACUCCGUGCCAGCAGCCGCGGUAAUACGGGGGGAGCAAGCGUUGUUCGGAUUUACUGGGCGUAAAGGGCGCGUAGGCGGCGCAACAAGUCACUUGUGAAAUCUCCGGGCUUAACCCGGAGCGGUCAAGUGAUACUGUCGUGCUAGAGUGCGGAAGGGGCAACUGGAAUUCUCGGUGUAGCGGUGAAAUGCGUAGAUAUCGAGAGGAACACCUGCGGCGAAGGCGGGUUGCUGGGCCGACACUGACGCUGAGGCGCGAAAGCCAGGGGAGCGAACGGGAUUAGAUACCCCGGUAGUCCUGGCCUUAAACGAUGAAUGCUUGGUGUCCGGGGUAAUAAAGUCCCCGGGUGCCGUCGCUAACGCUUUAAGCAUUCCGCCUGGGGAGUACGCACGCAAGUGUGAAACUCAAAGGAAUUGACGG
rnacentral:rRNA from 1 species